rnacentral:snRNA from 1 species
AUACUUACCUGGCAGGGGAGAUACCAUGAUCACGAAGGUGGUUUUCCCAGGGCGAGGCUUAUCCAUUGUACUCCAGAUGUGCUGACCCCUGCAAUUUCCCCAAAUGUGGGAAACUCAACUGCAUUAUUUGUGGUAGUGGGGGACUGCAUUCGUGCUCUCCCCUG